rnacentral:rRNA from 1 species
AUUGAACGCUGGCGGAAUGCUUUACACAUGCAAGUCGAACGGCAGCACGGGGGCAACCCUGGUGGCGAGUGGCGAACGGGUGAGUAAUACAUCGGAACGUGCCCAGUCGUGGGGGAUAACGUAGCGAAAGCUACGCUAAUACCGCAUACGAUCUACGGAUGAAAGCGGGGGAUCGCAAGACCUCGCGCGAUUGGAGCGGCCGAUGGCAGAUUAGGUAGUUGGUGGGGUAAAGGCUCACCAAGCCUUCGAUCUGUAGCUGGUCUGAGAGGACGACCAGCCACACUGGGACUGAGACACGGCCCAGACUCCUACGGGAGGCAGCAGUGGGGAAUUUUGGACAAUGGGCGAAAGCCUGAUCCAGCCAUUCCGCGUGCAGGAUGAAGGCCCUCGGGUUGUAAACUGCUUUUGUACGGACGAAACGGCCUUUUCUAAUACAGAGGGCUAAUGACGGUACCGUAAGAAUAAGCACCGGCUAACUACGUGCCAGCAGCCGCGGUAAUGUAUCG